GUCUUUUUCUAACAUUCGUCCUUCCCAUUCUUGAGGGUUAGCCAUGUUGGUCUGCUCAGCGAAAACAAGAGAGUCUUGUGGAACCUUAAAGAUUAACAAAUAUAUGUGGCACAAGCUUCUGUGGGAGAGAAUCUGCUUUGCCAGAUAUCUGAAAUGGCAGCUUCCUACGUUUCAUUUUGAGACAAAUCUGACUUGCAAGAACCUGCUUCUGCAUCUUAGGGUUAUUUCAACUGGUGCCAAUUACACGACAAAGAUAAGUUUUGGAUAAUGAAUAACUGUACCUGUGUACAGUUAGGCUGUAUUAUUCCUGACCCUUUUGCAGAAAUAGGUGCCAUAUUGUAACCAAGAGGUUGCUUUAUACGCCUUUAAAUGGUCUAAAGUAGCAAGAAAGGAUGCAGCCACUGUGCCUCCUGACCAUUCUUCCACCUGUCCCUUUGCCCACUCUGUCUCCUGUUAUGCGUAAGACAUAAGCCCUAUUCAGACAUUAUGUUGAAGACUCAUAUGAGUGUACAGUGUACACAGGUACACUUACUCACAUUUUAUGUUGAACACAGGUACAGUAGUAUACUUCCUAUCUGUACCAUGCAUUUGAGGGGCCUAUACUUGCAUUCACUUUUUAAAAGAAUGCAGGUAGGUUCGUUUACACAAAAAUAUGUACAAGUGUGCUGCCAUCUAUACAUUCAUGCAACAUAAUGUCUGAAUAGGGCUCUAGUGUACCUCUUACUUUAGUGGGUGAAGGGACUCAGAGAAAAUAGGCUGGAGUUGCCUCAGUUGUAUUCUUUAUCACUGCCUUGGAGCUUUCAGAAAUGUGGGCACAGUAUCCAGAAGCACAUGCCAAAACGAAAGGAGUAAUCUGUGUACAAAGAAUGCUGAAAAGGCCAAGGUGCUAAAACCCAACUGUACAGAGAGGAUCUUGCCUGGUGGAAAAUCCUCUUUGGGAAUGUCAGGAAAUCUUUUGCUUAUGACUUGCAGCUCACCAUCUGCAAGAUCCAAAACAGAUGUAUGGUGGGGAGAUCUCAUCUUACAAUCAACAGAAGUGGAACAUGGGAUCUUCAGCCAACAUGAUGAGAGCUCAGGGUAUCUCACCACUAUCUUUGCAUGAUGAAGCAUUCAACUUUGACUCCUUUACCCUGAAUUUAAAGCUUUUAGACAGUGCCUCCUUGUUGUCCAUUGUGGUUGGAUAUUCACCUCUGUCAUAGAACUGGAAAAUCUCAUGGGACAAGAGAAAUAACCGUUUGGCUCAAACAGGAAUAUAUUUUUCCUUCACUUUCUAAAAGGUGCAAAGUUUCUCUUCAUAUAAUGGAAACAUAUGUGAAUUCCCACCACCUUUUUAUCUCCAUGGUUGGUGUCAUGUCUGCCAUGUUCAUUACUGGUUUAUGAUUAAGUUCAUAGUGGCCAAAGACUGAAGAUUUGGGGGGGGGGGGAAGAACCUAGAGAACUUCCCCUUUCCCAAAAGCUGUGAUUUGAGAAAUUCCUCCAAAUAUGUUCAAGUAACAUGGUUACAGGAAAACCCAGGAAAUACAGUAAAACAAUGCAUAUUUUUGUAGGAAUAUCUGCCUAAAACACAGGAGACCAGCCUGUUUGAGCACCACCUUGAAUAAGCUUGUGGAUACGCUCACUUUAAGUGAGGUAAUGAAUAUAUUAGAACUGUACCAUCUCUGAGGGGGUGAUGGAAAACUGGAGGAAUGUAAACCUCUGUAGCUUUUAAAGGAAGAAUGUUAAUCUUUGUGCUUUUUUGUCUGCUAAUUCUGCUGGAUGGCAUCUAAUAAAUCCCCAGAGCCAUACCAAAAUCUUACCCUUCAAACUGUGCAAGACUAUAAAGUUAACAUAUCUGAGGUGGAUAGAGCUGCCAUUCCAAGUCUCUCUCUGCAAGCAUUUAGUUUUCAGCUUUGGCCAGCAGAAAUGGAUAAGAAUAUUGGAUAAUUUAUUGUAGGGAAUAAAUGACUGAAAUGACCAUCUGCCUCAUGGUAAUACCCAGUCAUGUAGCUGGGGCAAUUGGAAGGAGUGAGCAGUUGGUAGUUCCAGAUCAGUUACAGUAUCACAGAGGCAAUUUGUUUGCAUAGAAAAUAUAGCAGGGAAAUCCAGUGUUCACCUUGUCUCCAAGAUUUUUGGAGCCUUCAUGAUCUUCAGUUGCCUGCUAUUGCUACAUUUGCUAUCUAUUUACCUUUCCAGAUUUUUAGGAGGUGAUUUAUACUUUCUGCCUAGCAAGCUUACUAAUCUAUACAAAGUUUUAUUAAGAGUCUAGUUGCUUAUAUGCUAAAAUCAGGAGUUUGUCCCAAAUGGUAGAUCGACAUCUGCUGCUUGUCGAUUCCAGAAACUUGGUUGGCAGGAUGUAAGAAUAUGGGAAUAUAAGAAUGGAUUACUAGAAGCAAUACAGCUCAAGAGGCAAAAGAUGGGUUUACUUUCUAUUCAGGAAUUGGAUCUUACAUUGAGUCCUAAAAAAAAGUAAACUUCUGUUCAUUAAACACCUUAGAAAAGAACAUUUGGGGGCUAUUAUUGCAACAUCCUUGAAGUUGUAAAUAUGUAAUAAAGUGAUUUUGAAACAUUUUUUCAUUCUUUCAUCCUUUAUGAGCAGAUUCUUUUGCUUUAGAAGACUGUUUAGAACAAAAGCAAUACAAUUAGAUAAAAUGGUACUUUGAACAUGAAAACAGCAAUGGUGUGCCUCUAGAAUGCUGAGAUCAAGAAUGGUUUGUAGUGUUUCCUGCAUAUCUUCUGAAGUUGCUUUUUAAAAAUCUUUAUUUAUUAAGCACUUGUUGCAUUUAGUAAAAUAAAACAAGUUUUCAAACUCUACAUGCACAACAGGAAUUUCCAGAACUAUUGUGUUUCAUGCUACCAAGUCUGAAAAAGCAAAAACUAUAGAUACAAAUUGGUUUUUAACCUUUUGUCGUACUCAAACACUGUUGUAUUAUUUCUGCAUAAGUUUCCUAUAUGCCCAGCAUUAAAGCACUUCCUGUAAGUC